rnacentral:lncRNA from 1 species
CUCCUGGAGGCAGUGUGCAGGUACUGUUUUCUGUUCUCAUGGGAGGGCUAUUAAGGGAUCUGUUUUUACAGGUCUGCACCCUUUAUCUGUUCGAGAAAGAGAAGGCUGUUAGAAUAAAUAUUUUAAGAGCUGGGGGCAGUGGCGCAUGCCUGUGAUCCCAGUGGCUCAGGAGGCUGAGGCAGGAGGAUCAUGAGUAGUUCAAAGCCAGUCUCAGCAAUGAUGAGGUACUGAGCAACUCAGGGAGACCCUGUCUCUGAAUAAAUCUCAAAAAAGGAUUGGGGAUGUGACUCAGCGGUCAAGUGCCCCUGAGUUCAAUCCCUAGUACCCUCUCCCCUGCUUAAAAAAAAAAAAAAAGGAUUAAUUACUUUAUAAAAUCUGUUUGUGUGUCGAAAAUAAGUCCAGGGGUUGCCUAAUAUUUUAAAAAUGAGACUCUAGAUAAGUAAUUCUAACAGCAGAUAAUUUUUGGAAUUAAAUGCCAUUUCUUUACCAUGUCAUUCUUUACAUCUUUGAUUUUUUUUCACUGUUGUUUUUGUUUUAAUCAUAUGGCAUUUUUAUUUUGCUUGAAUUAGUGUUUAUCCUUGCUUUUUCCCAAAAGGAGAGAGUUGAUGUUUUACAUCGUAUUUAAGCACACAGGCCUCUUCUGAUACUUGGAUUUGUUUUAAAAAUACAGUAAAAAUGUCAGGUCUCAAUGUUGGCUUUUUCAAAGGGUCUCACACAUCAGAAUUUUUCACUUCUGAAACUAGAGGUGUUGCUCAGUGGUAGAGCCCAUGCUUAGCAUAAACAAGGCCUUGGGUUCCAUCCUCAGCAUGAAACAAAAAAGAAUAGUUCAGUUUCCCAGAGUGAGGACCACAUGUCAAAGAGCCUAGGUCAGGUAGACCUACAUUAUAUUUUAGAAAGUACCUCUUAUGCUGUCUGAGCCUUAGUUUUCUCAUUUGUACAGUAGGUAAUGAUUAACCUACAAUUUGUGAGGCUUAAAAAAAAACAGACAUACAGGGUUUAGGAUGGUGUUUAGAACAAAACAGUCUCCUAUAAGUGUGGAGCUUGUUUUCUUGGAUGCUAGAACCUGGGGGACUGCAUCCUGUUUGCCUGGGACAGCCCUGUGGUGUGCUUGUUGCCCCAGCAUGAUUAUUAACAGUGCCCCCUUUUGCUCUCAGAAGUCUCCCCAUUUGGGCAGUGAUUACAUGUACACCCCAGUUAGAACCCAAAAGUAGCUUUAACCCCCAUUGAAGCUGAGAAACAAGUCAAGCUUUUUGUCAUGAGUCAGGCUUCAUUUUGUCAGUUGCUCUUCAGUGUGUGCAAUGUUUACCAAGCACAAGUGGGAGGAAUCCGAGGUAGGUGUGGGUGUGCACAGAUGUGUGCCCCCUUAGCUGUAUUUGUGUGAAAGGGAAGCUCUUCUCUGAGGAGGCAAGUGAGCCAUUGGUUAUUUUCUGUAUUUCAGAAACCAUUUGUAACCCUGCAUCACAGAAGUCAAUGUCUAUGAUGUUGUACAUCCACCCAGCACUCUUUAUAUCAGAGAUUGGUCUAGGCUUCUCUGCAUAGUGGUCAACUUCCAGUGUGACAGGACUGUGUGAAUGGCAUUGUGGCAAUCGCCAUUGUCAGAUGAGGUUUUCCGUCUUCUCAUUUAGUUUCUUCUCAUCACAGAUGCAUUUGAGAGUCAGGUGAACAAGUCUUUCUGAGGAACACGACAGGUAGCCCAGUGUCAAGAGGGCUUCUUAACAGUGUUAAAAUCAGACUGAGUGACGUACUGGUUUGUAUAUGAAAAAUAAUUCAUAUUACCUUAUGCAUUUAUUGACUUUUUAUUUCUUACUGGUUCUUGUUUUUCUGCAUUCCCUCUCUUGUAAGAAGGAAGAAUAGAGCUGGGCACAGUAGCACAGUGUUAUAAUCUUAGUGGCUAUGGAAGCUGAUACAUGAGUAGUCCAAGUUCAAAGUCAGCCUCAGCAACUUAGUGAGGCUUUCAGCAACUUAAUGAGGCCCUGUCUCAAAAUUUUUAAAAAAAUUUAAAAAGAGCUUGGAGUGUGUUCAGUGUUUAAGUACUCCUGGGUUCAAUCUGUAUUAUAAAAAAAAAAAGAAGAAGAAGAAGAAGAGGAAGAAUACAGACAACCAAAGCAAAGGCAAAAACAGGGUUUUCUAAGAUGAACAAAAUACUAAAUUUAUAUAGCAUUGCAAAACCUAAAUUAAAUGAAUACUAAGUUUUUGGAAUGUUUAUGCUCUGGAAGUGAGAAACAAAAGAUAUCUGUUGUGUAGAAACAAAAAGAGAAACAAAGAAAAAAGUGAUUUUCCUCUGGGGCCUGGCAGUAGGGUUUCUGAUCAUUCCUCCUCAGAUUGAUGAGCCUCCAUUCAUUUUGAAAUGAGGCAUUUGAACCUUUCACCUGUUUUACAGUAUGUGUAUGACUGUGUAAAUGAAAUUUAAACUUCUUGCAAAGUUGGGGUAACUUUUCCCUACAUCCUUUUCUUUUGACAUGUUCUGAUUCUUAUUUUCUCCUGAAUGUCUCCCUCAUCCUGUAUUUUAUAGAACUACUUCCCUAGUAAGCAAGACAUCUUGCUGGCCAGGAAGGCCACCAAGGGGAUUGUGGAACAUUACUUCAUUAUUUUUAAAAAAUCCCUUUUAAGAUGGUGGUGUGAGUAGCCGCUGGUCUCAGUGCCUAAAUUAGUUCCAGUGCUUUGAUGGGAACAUGUCAAUCCUGUUCAUGGUGUCCUCUUGUGAAAACAAACAGGCACACGUGGCGGACAGGCACAGCAACUAGUGAAGGGAGUCAUUGAACAUCUUUGAGACCAUCCUCAACAAGUUCUUCUUCAAUGUCUCCAUAAUUUUUUUCCUCAAGAAGAUGGACCUCCUAGUAGAGAAUGUGAAGAUGGGCAGCCUCAGGAAACACUUCCUGAAUUUCAAUGGUGACCCUCCUCAACUGGAGGACAUCCAGCUAUGCCUGGUCCAAUGUUUUGACAGAAGGAGGUGAAACCACAGCAAGCUGCUGAUCCCCAUUUCACUUCCGCCAUAGACACCGAGAACAUCCACUUCAUGUUCCAUGCUGUGAAGAACUCGAUCCUGCAGGAGAACCUAAGGGACGUAAUGAUACUUUGAGAGAGGAAGCCCCCUCAUGCCUUUUUGAGGCUGCCUGCAUGGCUAUUAGUGCUUGUGGCCUGUGUGGUUCUGCAGGGCUUCUUGGACACAUCUGUAUUACACCUGGGUCAAGAAAGCUGGACUCCAGCCCAGCCAUGAGCUCUAGGCAAGAGGACAUGGGAACUCCAUGUGAGCUUCUGAUUCUGGGGACUGGUGAAAUACUGAAAUCCCCGUGCUCACCACUUUGGUGUUAAUCUGCAGUACCAACAAAACAGCCUC